UACAGAGGGGGCAAGCGUUAUUCGGAAUUAUUGGGCGUAAAGGGCGCGUAGGCGGCCUGGCAAGUGAAAGGUGAAAUCCCUCGGCUUAACCGAGGAACUGCCUUUCAGACUGCUUGGCUUGAGACCGGGAGAGGUGAGUGGAAUUCCCAGUGUAGCGGUGAAAUGCGUAGAUAUUGGGAGGAACACCAGUGGCGAAGGCGGCUCACUGGACCGGUACUGACGCUGAUGCGCGAAAGCGUGGGGAGCAAACGGG
rnacentral:rRNA from 1 species